rnacentral:rRNA from 1 species
UACGGAGGGUGCGAGCGUUGUCCGGAAUUACUGGGCGUAAAGCGCACGUAGGCGGCUUUGCAAGUCAGAGGUGAAAGCCCGGGGCUCAACCCCGGAAUUGCCUUUGAGACUGCAUCGCUAGAAUUGUGGAGAGGUAAGUGGAAUUCCGAGUGUAGAGGUGAAAUUCGUAGAUAUUCGGAAGAACACCAGUGGCGAAGGCGACUUACUGGACACAUAUUGACGCUGAGGUGCGAAAGCGUGGGGAGCAAACAGG